rnacentral:rRNA from 1 species
GGCUUAACCCUGAGCGUGCUUUCGAUACGGGUUGACUUGAGGAAGGUAGGGGAGAAUGGAAUUCCUGGUGGAGCGGUGGAAUGCGCAGAUAUCAGGAGGAACACCAGUGGCGAAGGCGGUUCUCUGGGCCUUUCCUGACGCUGAGGAGCGAAAGCGUGGGGAGCGAACAGGCUUAGAUACCCUGGUAGUCCACGCUGUAAACGGUGGGUACUAGGUGUGGGGUCCAUUCCACG